GAUGAAGAACGCAGCGAAAUGCGAUAAGUAAUGUGAAUUGCAGAAUUCAGUGAAUCAUCGAAUCUUUGAACGCACAUUGCGCCCGCCAGUAUUCUGGCGGGCAUGCCUGUUCGAGCGUCAUUUCAACCAUCAAGCCCCCGGGCUUGUGUUGGGGACCUGCGGCUGCCGCAGGCCCUGAAAAGCAGUGGCGGGCUCGCUGUCACACCGAGCGUAGUAGCACAUCUCGCUCAGGGCGUGCGGCGGGUUCUUGCCGUAAAACAACCCCCCCUUUUCACCAAGGUUGACCUCGGAUCAGGUAGGAAUACCCGCUGAACUUAAGCAUAUCAAUAAGCGGAGGA
rnacentral:misc_RNA from 1 species